GGGGAUUUAGCUCAGUGGCACAGCACCUGCCUUGCAAGCUUGAGGUCUUGAGUUUAAUCCCCA
rnacentral:tRNA from 1 species